ACUGGGUGUAGAAUGUUUUGUGUUUACGCAUAUCUCACACCCAUAUGUAUAUAGUUAACUGUGGUGUUAUAAUAUUGUAUGAUGGUAGAAUGGGACAAAGACUGUUAGCAGCGUAAAACAGUUAACAAUAUUCAGCCUGGCCUCAGUCAACGAGACAGAGAUGGGCUGUCGAUUUCACUACACGUACUGCAGCCGUUCGACUUCAUAAACCUAACUAACCCAUCAUUACGCCAUAAUGGGGGUGAAUGAUUCUCAAAAUUUGUUGAGAUGAUUUAACCCUAUUUGAUCAACCAAGCAGACUAACGCAAGGAUCAUUAAGUUUUUAUCUACGUGUUUUCAUGGAUUAAGUUGAAGCGAUAUGGGCAACAGGUUGUUGUUAUUUGUAAUGUGUCUGAUUCACAGAGCUUUCACAGAAGGUUCUGGUGAUAAUAUCAACUACGACGAUUUGGCAGCCAUGUUUGAUUUUAGUACGGAUGGUUCCGGAAAUAAGGGUCAAGACAAUAUCCUAGAUGGCAGCACUAUUCCUAAUAAUCAAAAUCCGUCGCAAGUUUUAUGUUAUAGAUGUGGAGAAGAUGGCGGGAAAACGUGUGAUAUAGAAGAUCUAAAAGCACGACCUCAGGCCUACAUACACGACUGUCGUGGUCACUGUUUAAAUAUCUCGUCAAGUCAGUUUACAGUUUACACGUGUACCGGAGAACCGCACGGAGGCAGGAUGGACUGCAUUUUUAAUGACGUCAUGAAUAUGUGUGCUUGUGCUACAGACUUGUGUAAUGGUCCAAAAGACAUUUUAGCCCGAACGCCAAAUUUACGUUCUGAUUUAAAUGGUUUAAACACGACGGGAAAAAGUAGUAAAAACUGUAUUAGAUUUAUAGUGCUAUUAAUGUGUUUGGUGUCCUCGUAUACUCUAACAUAUAUAUGAUAUAUAUAAAAUAUACGUGUGUGUAAUUAAUUUAGUCGUUCUUUUUGAUUAAAUGUGCUGUAAAUAAUUUGCAAAAAGUGCAAUGUAUAAAGACCGUCUAACAAUUGUACAAUAAAUUAAUUUUUGUUAUUGAA